rnacentral:rRNA from 1 species
UGGCGGACGGGUGAGUAACGCGUGGAAAACCUGCCCUGUACAGGGGGAUAACAGUUAGAAAUGACUGCUAACACCGCAUAAGCGCACGGUAAGGCAUCUUAGUGUGUGAAAAUAUUAAUAGGUACAGGAUGGGCCCGCGUCUGAUUAGCCAGUUGGCAGGGUAACGGCCUACCAAAGCGACGAUCAGUAGCCGGCUUGAGAGAGUGAACGGCCACAUUGGGACUGAGACACGGCCCAAACUCCUACGGAAGGCAGCAG